CGAUCAGCAUGGGCGUUUAUCGAGACAUCCGGGGCGGAUGCGCAGCAAUUAUCUGGCGCUGCGGACAGAUGGAAGACAAGAGUGGGAAACACAUAGUGACGACGGACCCCGGCUAUUCGGACUUUAGCCAUUGGAUGGGGAACAUGUUUCGUCUUCUUCCCUUCGGCCAUGGAAUUCAUGGGAAUGCGGCCGUCUCUUUCCCCUUGGCCAAGAUGCCUUUCUUUGGCUAUAUAAAGGGACCUUCCUCUCCUUGGAUGAUCAUCCUCAAAUCCUCACAUCCUCAAAUCUUCUCAUUCUCAUCUCCUCUCCUCACUUGAGAGAGUUUCUCUUGUAACACUAGGAGGCCGGAGUGCUCCUAGGAGGAGAGUGUCUUGGGUGGUUGUAAUAGCUUCCAUUCAUCAAUAGAGAGUUUUAUGUUUUUCUCUCUUAUCCUUGUGUCUUGCUAUACUUUGUGUGCGUGUCCUUGGGCUGGUGAUUGUUUUCUCACCAUCGAGAGCAGGCUGACUUGUGAGUGUGCACAAGUGCCGCACGGAGGAGUCUUGAAGGUUGCCACGCCGACGAGCCCCGUGUCAUUAACCAUGGUAUUAUGUAAACGGUGGAAUGUAAUUUGAUAUCACAUCUCCAAAUGAAGGGCCAAAAAACCCAGUACAGGCAGAAGGUUGUAAUGUCUGGAAUUACUAGGGUUGUCAAUGAGCCUCUGCCUUGAUGGGCAAUCUGCUUUUUUGGCCCGGCUAAAGAUGGCGAAAAGUAGAGUAUGGUUUCUAAACUAUGGGGUGCUGAGCCUGAAGUAUGAGAACGAUUGAUUGAG